CGGUUUUAAAAAAAAUAAAUGGGCUUGAACUUGCACAAAGUGUUUUUGGAUGCACAAGCUCAGCCAGGCUGGGGUUGAGGCCAGUCAAAUAAAAAUCAGCCUGAAUUGGGCCCAAACUAACCCUCAUGUGAACAGAUAUCACUUGACAAGAAACAAAUCCAAACAAAAUAAAAUUAGCACAUCUCUUUGCUGCAGAAUAUGGCUUAGACUAAACUGCAUGUAGAACAAUAGAAGGAAAAUAAGGCUUACCGUACACUGAUACCAUGCAUAU
rnacentral:misc_RNA from 1 species